UAGGGUUCUUCCAACUUCCACUCGCCUCCCUUUAGAAGAGAAAGUAAAGGCCAAUGUCUUUUUUUUUUUCUUUUUUUUCUUUUUUUAAUCUCUCUUUCAAAUAGAGAGAGAGUUGCUCAUAAAUACGUCAACCCUCGAAAUUAUUUUGAUCAACACCCCCACCUCUUCCUUAUGUGGAAUCUCUCUCUCUCUCUCUCUCUCUCUCUCUCUCGGUGAGGGUUAAGCUUGAGCUUGGUAUAAAUGGGGAGACCGACGGACGGCAGGAAUGGGAACGGCAAGAGGAGAUAGACAAUCGAAGGUGGAUAGAGAGAGAUUGGGAGGGAAGAAGUGUGGCAAAAGAUGAAGCGACUGAAGAUGUUGGCGCGCCUCAAACUAAUGGCGUGGUUAGAAAUUGACUCCUCCUUCAUCCCUAACCCCACCUUAUUGGCUUGAGCCGCGUCAAUAUCUCCUUUUUUCCACACACCUCUCUCUCUCUCUCUCUCUCUCUCUCUCUCUCUCUCUCUCAAGCUAGUUCUCCUUCUAUGUGAUCGGUUGAUUCACAGGGAAUUUGUUGUCGAUCGAUGAUGACAUUGAGACAGGUGUGAAAUGCCAAGCGGCAGCAACCAUUACCGCAACGUACGUGAGCUUGGGCCUACCAAACUCUGGUUUCAGUUGGGAUUGCAUUUAUUUCUCUCCGUUCUCUUGUCUACUUACAAACAAACCCAGGCAGUUGUAGCCAGACUGAUGUCCUUAGAAUCAAUAUUACUUUUUGGUAAUUGAAUUGCGCCUGAGUAGAUCUGUGGUUUAGUCGAAUUUAAGCUGAACUUUUUAAUGCAGUUUCGUAGACCAAUUUACGAAUUCGCUUUUAUAUUCCUACCCUUUUUUUGCACCAAGAGGUACCGUAGACGGAAGAUUUAGAUUGAGGAUGAUGAGAUAAGAUUCCAACUUGAGCCCUCUGUGUUCGCCAUUGUCAAGAGUCAAAGCAUUCAAAUAAGGAUGCAUUACCAGAAAAAAGUGUUGUCUUAUUGCGCUGACCAAAAAGCUUUUGAACUCGCUAGUGUGCGCUUGCUCAUAUUAUCAAGCUUUGAUUCAGUUUCUGUCCAGGAAAUCGCUCGUCGUAUGUUUGACUCAAGAAACGAAAGGGAUAAUACAGUAAGAAUUUAUCUGGUGUAAAAAUAUAUCUUGCAGAAAUAUUCUAUUGAACCCCAACCACGACAGGGAAAUCUUUCAGUUGGCUGUGGUUUCCAUAGUUGUCCCAUCUCUUGUAUAUCUACCAGUGCUCUACUCGAAGUGCUGUUGAAGGAAAUAUGUAAUUCUAAUUUGGUUUUCCCUCUAGAAGAUGUAGAGAGAUGAGGUCUUGCUGAGGAGAUCGGUGGAAGCUGAUAUUCAGGUGGCUGUAGCUUUUGGUUUGUCAUUUUCUAGAAUCAUGGGUUCCCCACUUUGAAGGGAGUUUGGAGCUGACAGGAGAAGCCCUUAAUUAUGAGGGCAACAUAAUUACCAUGUCCCAUUAUAUCAUAUCACAUCAAUCCAAAACAUACCGCGCCUGCCAUGUUUUGACA